rnacentral:rRNA from 1 species
CCUACGGGGGGCAGCAGUAGGGAAUAUUGCUCAAUGGGGGAAACCCUGAAGCAGCAACGCCGCGUGGGGGAUGAAGGUUUUCGGAUUGUAAACUCCUUUUGUUAGAGAAGAUAAUGACGGUAUCUAACGAAUAAGCACCGGCUAACUCCGUGCCAGCAGCCGCGGUAAUACGGAGGGUGCAAGCGUUACUCGGAAUCACUGGGCGGAAAGAGCGCGUAGGCGGGAUAGCAAGUCAGAUGUGAAAUCCUAUGGCUUAACCAUAGAACUGCAUUUGAAACUGUUAUUCUAGAGUAUGGGAGAGGUAGGUGGAAUGCUUGGUGUAGGGGUAAAAUCCGUAGAGAUCAAGAGGAAUACUCAUUGCGAAGGCGACCUGCUAGAACAUAACUGACGCUGAUGCGCGAAAGCGUGGGGAGCAAACAGGAGUAGAUACCCCGGUAGUC